GGGACGUACAGUAAUGACAUGAACUAGUGAGUAAUCUCUUGAUUUUGCAAUACCACCUAGGGAUAGGGGUAGGACGAUCAAUUGCGCUAACUUCUGUUUAUAAUGCAGUAUUAAUUACUAGGGGAGGCUAGGGAUAGCAAGUCGGUAAUUGAUAUUAGGCCCUUUUCGCCGAGGGAUCGGGUUAAGGGGAGGCUAAGAAAGUCGCAUAACAAUUGAAAUAGUCAAACUAAUAUUCAAGGGUAGUAUGUAAGAAAGAGCGGAAUAGAUGAAAUUGUAAACCCCCAACAACAUCCAUUCAUCCAUUGUUUUCGUUUGUCAAUUGAAUCAACUUUAUUUUUGCAUGUUAAUAUUUUUGUUCUCAAAUCUAAUUUAUUAAUUCUUAUUUUUCAAGUCUUAUUAUUUUAAUUCACGCGAACGAGAAAGUCAUACGAGUCUCUUGGGAAAACGAUACUUGGUCUUACCAUUUAUAUUACUUGUACGAUUUGGUACAGUUGCCAAUUUGUCAACAUUUGUGUGUGUGUGUGUGUUUGUGUGUGUGUGUGUUUGUGUGUCUGUGUGU
rnacentral:lncRNA from 1 species